rnacentral:rRNA from 1 species
UCUCGCCUUUAGAUUGGCCCAAGUGGGAUUAGCUAGUUGGUGAGGUAAUGGCUCACCAAGGCGACGAUCCCUAGCUGGUUUGAGAGGAUGAUCAGCCACACUGGGACUGAGACACGGCCCAGACUCCUACGGGAGGCAGCAGUGGGGAAUAUUGCACAAUGGGCGCAAGCCUGAUGCAGCCAUGCCGCGUGUGUGAAGAAGGCCUUCGGGUUGUAAAGCACUUUCAGUCAGGAGGAAAGGUUAGUAGUUAAUACCUGCUAGCUGUGACGUUACUGACAGAAGAA